ACAGGAGCAGACAAACUGAAGCGAUGGAAAUACUAACUUGAGGAAUGUGUAGUGAUGUCUAUACCCGAGGGAUGUGUACUCGUGUCUAAGAUACCCGAGGGAUGUGUACUCGUGUCUAAACUAGUCUGCUCUCUGUUUUUCUGGAACACACUGCAGCGAUCACUGCUGCUGCGAGUCACACAACCUCGCUGGACUUUUGUUCCACGUGACCAGCCAACCUGAGCGGAGAACUGUCGAAGAGGAGUGGAUUUAUAAUCUUCUGUUCCCUGAUCAGCUCAGUCAGAUGUUUCUGUAUCAUUGCUGGCUGAAGUGCAGUUGUGUUUGUGCGCGUGUCCGCCGUUUUAACCGUCCGUGGUAACCCUGGUCCGAGUUCACAAGAUCUACUCACCUGACUUUGGACUUUUCCAGGAACUGUCAUUCCCUGUCCGGUCUCCAGCUGUCACCCCUGCCUCUCAUUCCCUCAUUACAGUGUCCUGAAUUUAACCAAUCACAACUGUUUCGGGUUUCUUUAUAAACUCUUCAAUAUACAUAUCUGUUUCCACUUGUCUUCCACCAGAUCGUCUGUUCUUCAGAGACAUCGUGUUCCAGCCAGUUGUACCUAUUUAUUUCCCUGUGUCUAGCUUGUUCUAACUGUUCUCCUGGUGUUUGGAUUUUCUGCUCAGCUUGUGAGCUUUGCAUCAGCCUGGAUUAGGACUGUGUGUUUCAGCUUUUGCCUGGACUCCUCCUUUGUCUGCUGUACUCCUUGCCUGAUAUUGAAACAGAAGUUGCUGCAUAGCAUGUUGUCAUAAGUUUUUUUAAGUGCUCCAAAUCAAAUCUCUAUAGAGGGAUUCGUCCUGCUAAGACUGAAUUUGUUACAUAAGCUCCCAGCAUGAUGUUUGGGGUGGUGUCAAAAGACCUGUGUCUGAGCAUGCUUAAGAGCAGGUACUUCCUGAAACUCUUCCAUUUCAAGUAUUUGCUCAGCUUUGGAGCGUGGGGACGGUGGCUUUUCAAAUGGAUUACACCUGUGAUCACUGUCUUUAUAUUGCUCUUGUUCUGCUGCUUCUGUGGGAUCCCUCACCUGCAAGCUUUGCUCCCCCACACUGUUGGUAAUCCAAACAGGCUGAGUGUCUGUGCUUCCCUCACCACACACUGUUCGGCUACAACGGAGCUGCAGGUUUCUGUCAUAAGCAGUCUUCUUCAGCAUCCGUGAUGUUGGAACAAACACACAUCAGUGUCAACUUGGGUUAGAAAAAUCAGCCACACAAAAUAAAA